rnacentral:lncRNA from 1 species
AGCAACAGCCGAGGAAGAAGAGAGGUGACCAGCAGGGAGAAGCCUGAGCUUUGUGUGAUGCCCUGUAGAUGUGGUCUUUCCAGAAGAACAUCGUCCACAGUGACCAACCAAAAAUGUGGGGAGCACGGAGAAGAAAAGGAAAACACUAAAUGAAGGUAGCAAUAUUUUAUUUAAG